UACAUUGUAAUUUCAUCUCCAUAUUAAAUUCCUGACAGAUGUGUCAAAAGUCAACAACUAAUCGUUUGUUAUACGUUUCACUAUACUCAGUUAGAUCAACUGAGUAUAGUGAAACUGGGGCUAAACGUACUCCUUAACGUCCUAUCGGGGAAAAAAACCUGCCCUCAUUUAUAGGUAGGUAGGUACACAUUACUUACCUACAAUUAAUACAUCAAUCAAAAAGUUAUAUUUAUUUACGAAAUCUCUAUAAUGUAUGCUAUUCGUAUUUGUGUACCUAGAUGACACCCAAGAGAUUGAAGAAAUUGCAUCUGACGUGUUUUGUGCGAAAUCUACCGUUCUUACCGUGUGUUUGUACCGUGCUGUGCCAUAAGCAUGCUCUAUUUUUUUCAGGAACCUCGCGGUUGAAGACUGUCGGAGAUUGAUCACGCGCAUGACGGCUCCUCCGGCAACUUUGUUGGAAUAAGACAGGUCCGGAAGGCGCAGAUUUUCUGCGUGUGCUGCUUUUAGGUAGCAGGUAUACCUACAUAGCCAUCUAAUAGUUAGCAAGAAAGUUUAGCGUAGCGCUCAAGAAAAACUGUGAUAAUAUUUUGUAAGAGUUAAUUUUGAUACCACCUACUUACACGGAGUUAAGUACGUAUUGGUCUGUUACAUCACAUUACGAAACUAUACUAAGUUGGUAAUGAAUGGGGAGAAAUAAAUCAAGCACUUAUUGCUUAACUUC